rnacentral:rRNA from 1 species
AGCGAACGCUAGCGGCGGGCCUAACACAUGCAAGUCGAGCGCAUACCUUCGGGUAUGAGCGGCGGACGGGUGAGUAACGCGUAGGUCAUCUACCCUUUGGUGGGGGAUAACCCAGGGAAACUUGGGCUAAUACCGCACGAGGUCUACGGAUCAAAGCCUUCGGGCGCCAGAGGAUGAGCCUGCGUCGCAUUACCUAGUUGGCGGGGUAGCGGCCCACCAAGGGGACGAUGCGUAGCUGGUCUGAGAGGAUGAUCAGCCACACUGGGACUGAGACACGGCCCAGACUCCUACGGGAGGCAGCAGUGGGGAAUAUUGCGCAAUGGGGGGAAACCCUGACGCAGCCACGCCGCGUGGGUGAUGAAGGCCUUCGGGUUGUAAAGCCCUGUCGGGAGGGACGAAUUCUUGACGGUACCUCCAAAGAAGCACCGGCUAACUCCGUGCCAGCAGCCGCGGU